rnacentral:lncRNA from 1 species
AAUUUCUCUCUUUCUACAUGGUUGCGUACGGGUAACCGAGGGAAGAAGAGAGACUGAGCUGGAGCACAGCUCUAGCCUUGUUGUCCACUCGCGGCCUGUCCUGCUACAACCGUGUGAGGAUCUGAACCUAGGAAACAACACUGUUUAGAGUCGUGUGUGUUACUCUAUUUCCAGGUGUGUCAUUUUGUGCCCAACUUGACCAUUUUGUUUAAUGUUUUUAUUAUUGAGAGAGAGACAGACAGACACAGAGCACAGUGGGGGAGGGGCAGAGAGAGAGAGGGAGACACAGAAUCCUAAGCAGGCUCCAGGCUCUGAGGUGUCAGCUCAGAGUCUGACAUGGGACUCGAACCCAUGAAUUGUAAGAUCAUGACUUGAGUCCAAGUCGGAUGCUCAACAGACUGAGCCAUCCAGUGCCCCUCUUUUUUUUUUUAAGUUUAUUUAUUUAUUCUGAGAGAGAGAGAGCACAAGUGGGGGAGGAACAGCAGAGAGAGAAGGAGAGAGAGAGAAUUCCAAGCAGGCUUUGCACCAUCAGCACAGAGCCCAAAGUGGGGCUUGAACCCACGAACUGUGAGAUCAUGAGCCGAAACCAAGAGUCAGAUGCUUAGCCAACCGAGCCACCCAGAUACUCCCCAACUUGACCAUUUCUAUCAAAGAGACAGAAUUAGCUAUUUGUUUUUUACUAGACCAUUUUUUUAAAGUUUUUUGUUUUUUUGGGCAAUCUUGAUAAAAGGGUAAUUUUCAGAUUUUUAUAAUUGUCAUAACAUUCAUCAUAGGCAAAAUGCAAUUAAUUGUGUUUGUCAGCAAUAUUAAACAUGCUCAGAAAUCAGUUGCUAUUCUAAAUAUUGAUGAAAAUAAAAGAAUCGCUUGUGUUCACAAGCAAAAAAAAUGGUGCUAAAUAUUUUGAUAGCUGGAGAAAUUUUUCUUUUUAUACCAUUGUGUGUUCUGUAGUAACUAAUCUUUAUUACACUUGAUUAGAGAUCCUUUAUCUGCAGUUUAUUGAUUCAUCCACUUUAAGUAAUAGACACUUUUCAUGAAUCUAGUAUAUAUCAUACACUAGGCUAGAGAUAGUGGUGACACAAAGAAAUAAAAAUUCAGGUUUGGGCCUUCAAGGCAUUGCAGUCAACCUGGGGUAGAAAGGAGUGGGGAAAAGAUAAACACACAAAUAAUAUAUCAGUAACAAAUGGUAUGAUACAUACUGCGCAUGAUGGAAAACAAAAGCUUGUAAAAAGGGCAUCCAUUCUGCAACCAUGGGGAGAGGUGAUCAGGCAGGCCUUCCUGGAGAAAGUGGUACCCGACUUACUGUUGUUAAUUAAUAUUAUCUCUACAAGGAUUUCUUGAAAUGGUAAAUGAUACCUUAAGCUGAUUCUGCCCUUCUUCCCCCCUCCUCCAGUUCUUUUAAGGUACUAGGUACAAGAGGUCCAGAGCCAUGCAUGGCAGAAAUUAUUGACCCCAACAUCACUUCUCCUUUGUUAGAUCCCACCCCCCACCCCACCCCAAUGAUUUUUUUUUGCUGGGUGUUUGGAUGCUUUAAAUAAAGAUGCAUUGGGGCACCUGGGUGGCUCAGUCGGUUAAGCGUCCCAUUCUUGAUUUCGGAAAAGGUCAUGAUCUCACAGUUCAUGAGUUCAAGCCCUACAUGAAGCUCUAUGCUGACAGUGUGGAGCCUGCUUGAGAUCCUCUCUCUCUCUCCCUCUCUCUCUCUCUCUUUCUCUCCCUCUCUCACCUCCUUUCUCUCUGCCCUUCCCCUGCUAGCUAUCUCAAAAUAAAUAAACAAAUUUAAAGAUGUAUUUCCCAGGUACCCUUUUAUCAAGAUGUGAGCCCUUGGGUUGGGUUUAGGUAAGUGGGAUAUAAACAGAGAAAUGUAUGGCAGAUUAUGGGACAUGUCCUUGAAAGAUGAUUGAUAAAUACUUGGUCCUGCUUCUCUCCCUCUUCCUCAGCCUCCUGCUUGGAAUGUGGAUGAAGUGGCUGUAGGUCUUUGUUGGAUGAAGAAGGCAAAGGCCACCCAAGGGAUGGCAAAGUGGACAUCUGGAUGUAGCCUAAGUCCCUAAGAGUUACAGGCAGUGGAGCCAACAUAACUGCUCUGAACUUACAAGUGGAGGAGAAAUCAAAUUCUGUCUUGAUUAAGCUAAUGCUAUCUUGUGGGGGAGGGGAG